UGAUGUUACACCAAACUGCCUGUGAAUGCUGUUUUGAGGUCAGUAAUUUAGAGCACGCUGAGGACUGUUUGCAACUACAGUGAUACGCAUGUAAAUCUUAUGUUACAAUGCUAUAGUUGUUAUACUUCAUCUGCUUAUUCUCACAAUAUAACUCUUAAAAUGUUGUCUGGUACCUGAGUGCCAAUGUUGGUAAGUCUGUACUCCUCAGAUGUUAAUCAUACUGUAUGUGGACAGGCAAAUGUAAACUUUUAAUAUUUGUGUAGUGCUAAUGUUUCAUGUGUUGUGUGUGCUUGUAUGAAUCUAAUAGGUAUUUUUUCCCCGGGUGCAUCAACAAUCUUUAACUGAAAUUCAUCAAAAGGAUCCAAGCAACCCGAGCAUCCACGCAACCAGAGAUACCAUCAUUCGGUGUUUGAUGGCGUACCCUGGGGAAUCCACAGAUCAACUCUUAAAAGAAUAUGAUGAUGCUGAUGAAGACAGUGUGGCACAGGACCUUACCACGCAAAAGAUAGAAAUCUAUACGGUGGAGGGCUCAGACGAUGUCGGUAUCGUUUUAGAGGGACUCAAAGUUGUGACUGCUCUGGAUAACAUUCCGAGGGCUUGCUGCAUGCUGGUUGGGUUGGUAUGCAGUCAACCUUGCCUAUCCCAAGGAGCUCCGAUAUACUUUGGAGGUCUUUCAGAAACUCCUACUGGAGCUGGACUGCUCAAAGCUGUCCCUGAAAGUAAACAGCCUCAAGAACAAACUGUUAACCUAAUAGAAAGGACCCUUGUGGAACAAUUUAUAUGUCACUGUUCAAAACUCACCUGUGGUUAAGUUCAACUCGUUCAAUGCUUGAGUUUAUUAUUUUUUUAAGGAUCCCAGUGAGAAGCAGCUGUUUGUGUAGUGUUUUAACUGUAAGCCGGAAUUGCAUAUUGUGUGUUUUUAUAGAGAAGUUUGCACAUGAAGAAUUUUAUAUAAAUGUAACAAAUUUGCACAAAUAAAUGUUUACCCGCUGUACUUUGUAUGUAUCUGUUGGCUUAAGUUAAGUUUACUGUGGCACGAAGAUGGCAUAGUAUUGAGUAAUUUAGACAUAGAAAGAUUAUGGCAACAAAGUGACAAGUAAUAUUAUUGAAUAGAUUUAAUAUCAUUUAUGUAAUGUCAUUCAGUAAAUGUAGAUCAAUUUCACCCAAAUAUUCAGUAAAUGUAAAUAC